UCUCCGUUGGUGAACCAGCGGAGGGAUCAUUACCGAGUUUACAACUCCCAAACCCUUAUGUGAACCGUACCUAUCGUUGCUUCGGCGGGAACGCCCCGGCGCCCUGCGCCCGGAUCCAGGCGCCCGCCGGAGACCCCAAACUCUUGUGUUUUUUCAGUAUUCUCUGAGUGGCAAACGCAAAAUAAAUCAAAACUUUUAACAACGGAUCUCUUGGCUCUGGCAUCGAUGAAGAACGCAGCGAAAUGCGAUAAGUAAUGUGAAUUGCAGAAUUCAGUGAAUCAUCGAAUCUUUGAACGCACAUUGCGCCCGUUAGCAUUCUAGCGGGCAUGCCUGUCCGAGCGUCAUUUCAACCCUCAGGGUCCCCGUUCCGGCGGGGAACCUGGUGUUGGGGAUCGGCCCGCCCCGUGCGGCGCCGUCCCCCAAAUUCAGUGGCGGUCUCGCUGCAGCCUCCCCUGCGUAGUAGUUACAACCUCGCAUCGGAGCUCAGCGCGGCCACGCCGUAAAACCCCCGACUUUCUGAACGUUGACCUCGGAUCAGGUAGGAAUACCCGCUGAACUUAAGCAUAUCAAUAAGCGGAGG
rnacentral:rRNA from 1 species